rnacentral:rRNA from 1 species
AUCAACCGCUGGCGGCGUGCCUAACACAUGCAAGUCGAACGGGAAAACGGGAGCAUCCUGUGAGUACAGUGGCGUACGGGUGAGUAAACACGUGACUAACCUACCCGUCGAGUGGGGGAUAACCCCCGGGGAAACCGGGGCUAAUACCGCAUAACAUCGAGAGAUUCAAAGGAGCAAUCCGCUUGAGGAGGGGGGGGUCGCGGCUGAUUAGCUAGUUGGUGAGGUAACGGCUCACCAAGGGACGAUGAUCGGUAGCCGGCCUGAGAGGGCGCACGGCCACACUGGAACUGAAACACGGUCCAGACUCCUACGGGAGGCAGCAGUGGGGAAUUUGCGCAAUGGGGGAACACCCUGACGCAGCAACGCCGCGUGGAGGAUGAAGUCCCUUGGGGACGUAAACUCCUUCGACCCGGACAGAUUAUGACGGUACGGGUGGAAGAAGCACCGGCUAACUUCGUGCCAGCAGCCGCGGGUAAUACGAGGGGUGCAAGCGUUGUUCGGAAUUAUUGGGCCGUAAGGGCGCGUAGGCGGUGCGGUAAGUCACCUGUGAAAUCUCCUGGCUCAACUGGGAGCUUGCAGGCGAAACUGCCGUGCUGGAGUGUGGGAGAGGUGCGUGGAAUUCCCGGUGUAGCGGUGAAAUGCGUAGAUAUCGGGAGGAACACCUGUGGCGAAAGCGGCGCACUGGACCACAAACUGACGCUGAGGCGCGAAAGCUAGGGAGCAAACAGGAUUAGAUACCCUGGUAAGUCCUCUAGCCCUAAACUAUGAUGCUUGGUGUAGUGGGUACCCAAUCCCACUGGCCGGGAGCUAACGCGAUUAAGCAUUCCGCCCUGGGGAGUACGGUCGCAGGCUGAAACUCAAAGGAAUUGACGGGGGCACGCACAAGCGGUGAGCAUGUGGUUCAAAUUCGACGCAACGCUAGAGACCUUACCUAGGGCUCGAAGCGCAGUGGAAUCCGGGUGGAAACAUCGGCGCCGCAAGGGUCGCUGCGGAGUGCUGCAUGGCUUCCGUCAGCUACGUGUCGUGAGAUGUUGGGUUAAGUCCCGCAACGAGCCGCACCCUUAUCGUGCUGUUGCCAUCAGGUCAAGCUGGGCACUUCUAGCGAAACCGCCUAGGAUAACGGGGAGGAAGGUUGGGGAUGACGUUCAAGUCCUCAGGGGCCUUUAUGUCCCGGGCUACACACUGCUACAUGGUCCGGUACAACCGUCGCAACCGCGAGGGGAGCUAAUCCGGAAAAGCCGGCCUCAGUGCGGAUUGGAGUCUUGCCACCCGACUGCUUAAGGCUGGAAUCCGCCUAGUAAUCGCAGAUCAUAACCGCUGCGGUGAAUAGUCCCGGGCCUUGUACACACCGCCCGUCACAUCACGAAAGGGGGUGAUACUGAUCAGUCGUUUCGUUCAACCCGCAAUGGGGGACUGCACGCCCAAGGUAUGAAUCAUGAUUGGGGUG